rnacentral:rRNA from 1 species
UACGGGGGGGGCAAGCGUUGUUCGGAAUUACUGGGCGUAAAGGGCGCGUAGGCGGCCUUCUAAGUCGAACGUGAAAUCCCCGGGCUCAACCCGGGAACUGCGUCCGAUACUGGAAGGCUUGAAUCCGGGAGAGGGAUGCGGAAUUCCAGGUGUAGCGGUGAAAUGCGUAGAUAUCUGGAGGAACACCGGUGGCGAAGGCGGCAUCCUGGACCGGCAUUGACGCUGAGGCGCGAAAGCUAGGGGAGCAAACGGG